AAGACACUGCAAACUCAAUCACACACGCAUAGAGCAUAUCCUCGAGAAUCUGAAUAGUGCGCUCUGACUGUCUGUCCAUCUAAGGCUAAAAUGUUGUACUCAACCCUACCCAAGUACCCAACUCAUGCUGAAUGGCCUACCAGAAUAGUGAUGUGAACUGAGUGUCUCUAUCCAAAAUGAUGGAAACUAGAAUACCAUGCAGACGAACAAUCUCCUGGAUAUAGAUCUCCG
rnacentral:lncRNA from 1 species